rnacentral:rRNA from 1 species
CUGGUCGGAGCGAUCGGUCCGCCUCGAUUCGGGGUGUGUACUUUGUGUCGUCUCCAGACCAUCCUUGAGGCGAGCUGUCCUGGCAUUGAGUUGUUGGGGCAGGGAACCUCAUCUUUUACUGUGAAAAAUUAGAGUGUUUAAGCAGGCUUACGCCGUUGAAUACAUUAGCAUGGAAUAAUAAGAUAGGACUUUGGUGGUCUAUUUUGUUGGUUUGCACACCGAAGUAAUGAUUAAGAGGGACAGUUGGGGUAUUCGUAUUUAAUUGUCAGAGGUGAAAUUCUUGGAUUUCUGAAAGACGAACUACUGCGAAAGCAUUUACCAAGGAUGUUUUCAUUAAUCAAGAACGAAAGUUAGGGGAUCGAAGAUGAUUAGAUACCAUCGUAGUCUUAACCAUAAACUAUGCCGACUCGGGAUUGGCGGGCGUUAACUUUAUGACUCCGUCAGCACCGUAUGAGAAAUCAAAGUCUUUGGGUUCCGGGGG